UGGGAACACAGUGGACUCAAUCUUUCAGUCUUUUUGGAAAACUCUGCAUGGAAUUGUGCCUUGUUUGUGGACUUGAUUGCACAGAUACUAUUUAAACUGAUCUGAGCUGGAUGAUGACAUCAUUGAACUCAAUCAUGAACUGCCUUUUUGCAUUAUUGACACUAUUUUCCUAUUUAAGGCUGUUCAGUUGCUUUGUUACAGUCUGUACUGUUAAAAGCGCUAUAUAAAUAAAGGUGACUUGACUUGUAAAUUAAUCCGCAGAAUCGGUGGGCGGAGCUAAACAGGCAGCGAUGUAGAAUCGGUGGGCGGAGCCAAACAGGCAGCAAUGUAGAAAGUGAUGAGUUCUUAAACUUAUAGAAUGUUUUUAAUAGCACAGUGACCUCUUAUAUUUUAAAAGCUCAAGGGAAUUUUGUUUUCUCAGUUCAUGAACCCUUUAAUGAGAAAUAAUUUAUAAAAGAUUAAAUAUUAUCUGCGCCACUUUCCAUAAACAGGGUACAAACUGAUGUCCCUUUACAUUUUAUAAAGCAUAAAAGGUACCCUAUGUUCUUUAGAGAGAAAACUGCUAGAUAAACUACUACAUUACAGAAAAUAUAGUGUAGGAGUCAUUCGAAACACAAUUAUGUUGCUUCCGUCCUCAUUAUAAACUGUUGUUCAGUCUACUUUCGAAAAGACACGAGCGUGCUGGAACAUGAUGAAGGUGAAUAAAUGAUGAUAGAACUUUCAUUCUGAGUUUACUAAAAUAAGCCAGAAGCAUGAAAAUGAGCUAGUUUAAAACAAGCCUUAAAUAAUGAUUAUGACAUCACUUUCUGCAAUCCAAUCUUUGAUUAAAUGUCAAAAAAAAAAAAAAAA